rnacentral:rRNA from 1 species
GACGAACGCUGGCGGCGUGCUUAACACAUGCAAGUCGAACGGAAAGGCCCUGCUUGCAGGGUACUCGAGUGGCGAACGGGUGAGUAACACGUGGGUGAUCUGCCCUGCACUUCGGGAUAAGCUUGGGAAACUGGGUCUAAUACCGGAUAGGAGCCAUCUUUAGUGUGGUGGUUGGAAAGUUUUUUCGGUGUAGGAUGAGCUCGCGGCCUAUCAGCUUGUUGGUGGGGUAAUGGCCUACCAAGGCGGCGACGGGUAGCCGGCCUGAGAGGGUGUACGGACACAUUGGGACUGAGAGACGGGCCAGACUCCUACAGGAGGCAGCAAGGGGGAAUAUUGCACAAUGGGCGCAAGCCUGAUGCAGCGACGCCGCGUGGGGGAUGAAGGCCUUCGGGUUGUAAACUCCUUUCGCUAGGGACGAAGCUUUUUUGUGACGGUACCUAGAUAAGAAGCACCGGCUAACUACGUG